rnacentral:rRNA from 1 species
UACGUAGGGUCCGAGCGUUGUCCGGAGUUACUGGGCGUAAAGCGCGCGCAGGCGGUCCUUUAAGUCUGAUGUGAAAGCCCACGGCUCAACCUGUGGAGGGUCAUUGGAAACUGGGGGGACUUGAGUGCAGAAGAGGAAAGCGGAAUUCCACGUGUAGCGGUGAAAUGCGUAGAGAUGUGGAGGAACACCAGUGGCGAAGGCGGCUUCUGGUCUGUAACUGACGCUGAGGCGCGAAAGCGUGGGGGGAGCAAACAGG